UUAAUAUUAAGAAGAAUCCUGGAAGACGGCAAGUAGCCAAAUUGGCUUUGAACAGCUUCUGGGGGCGAUGGGGAAUGAACCUGAACAAGAUACGUUUGACUUAUGUUCAUACAUUACCUGAUUUCAAUAAAUUAUUAGCAGAUCCAACAAAAAAUAUCAAAGACUUAUAUUUUCCGACUCCUGAAGUAGCUGCUGUGCAAUGGGACUAUAAACAUUAUUUUGUUCCACAGGACACAUCCACAAAUGUGUUCUUGGCAGCUUUUACUACUGCAUGGGCACGGUUAAAGCUUUACAGUGAAAUGGAGAAGUUGGGCCGUGCUGUGUUGUAUCAUGACACGGAUUCAAUUAUAUACGCAAGCGAUUUUUACCAACGAUCCGCCUCUUGGUAAUUUUUUUGGGGGAUUUUACAGAUGAACUCAAUGGAGAUACUAUUACUACAUUUGUCUCUGGAGGCCCUAAAAAUUACGCUUAUGUAACAGCCCGAGGAAUGACUUGCUGUAAAGUUCGAGGUUUCUCCCUCAACUUCAAAAAUCAACAGAUUUUAAAUUUUUUGGAGAUUAAGAAUUUAGUGUGCUCGAUGGAUCGAAAAACAACAAUCGCCAUGUACGAUGAACAUAAAAUCAUGAGAGAUGCCAAAAAGAGGAAAGUUUUAACUAAGGCAGAAACAAAACUGUACAAAAUUGUUUACAACAAAAGGGUCCUAAAAGAAGAUCUAACUACUGUUCCCUAUGGAUUUUAAGUGGUAUGCAUCUCAUUUAUUUUAUUUCAUUGCAGGGUUAUUGUUGGAUUAAUGUUAAAAAAAAAUUAUAUUUUGCAGUAAAAUUUUAAAAUUGUGUGGUUGACUUUUUUUUUCUUUUUCUUUUUUUUUUUUUU